AGCGAACGCUGGCGGCAGGCCUAACACAUGCAAGUCGAACGAAGUCUUCGGACUUAGUGGCGGACGGGUGAGUAACACGUGGGAACGUACCUUUUGGUUCGGAACAACUCAGGGAAACUUGAGCUAAUACCGGAUGAGCCCUUCGGGGGAAAGAUUUAUCGCCAUUAGAGCGGCCCGCGUUAGAUUAGCUAGUUGGUGAGGUAAAGGCUCACCAAGGCUACGAUCUAUAGCUGGUCUGAGAGGAUGAUCAGCCACACUGGGACUGAGACACGGCCCAGACUCCUACGGGAGGCAGCAGUGGGGAAUCUUGCGCAAUGGGCGAAAGCCUGACGCAGCCAUGCCGCGUGAAUGAUGAAGGUCUUAGGAUUGUAAAAUUCUUUUACCAGGGACGAUAAUGACGGUACCUGGAGAAAAAGCCCCGGCUAACUUCGUGCCAGCCGCCGCCGUAAUAC
rnacentral:rRNA from 1 species